AGACCCGAAACCCGGUGAUCUAGCCAUGGGCAGGUUGAAGGUUGGGUAACACUAACUGGAGGACCGAACCGACUAAUGUUGAAAAAUUAGCGGAUGACUUGUGGCUGGGGGUGAAAGGCCAAUCAAACCGGGAGAUAGCUGGUUCUCCCCGAAAGCUAUUUAGGUAGCGCCUCGUGAAUUCAUCUCCGGGGGUAGAGCACUGUUUCGGCAAGGGGGUCAUCCCGACUUACCAACCCGAUGCAAACUGCGAAUACCGGAGAAUGUUAUCACGGGAGACACACGGCGGGUGCUAACGUCCGUCGUGAAGAGGGAAACAACCCAGACCGCCAGCUAAGGUCCCAAAGUCAUGGUUAAGUGGGAAACGAUGUGGGAAGGCCCAGACAGCCAGGAUGUUGGCUUAGAAGCAGCCAUCAUUUAAAGAAAGCGUAAUAGCUCACUGGUCGAGUCGGCCUGCGCGGAAGAUGUAACGGGGCUAAACCAUGCACCGAAGCUGCGGCAGCGACACUGUGUGUUGUUGGGUAGGGGAGCGUUCUGUAAGCCUGUGAAGGUGUGCUGUGAGGCAUGCUGGAGGUAUCAGAAGUGCGAAUGCUG
rnacentral:rRNA from 1 species